GCCCGAGAAGCUCAAUUAGUUGAGCAGAGCAUUGAAGCUGCUUUGGUUGUCAGUUCGAGUCUGAUUUUGGGCA